CAACCGGAUAGCAUGCCAGCUCCAGGCUUGUGGCCGUUUCAUAACCAGCCCUUUCAUGUGUUAUGUGUGAAGUUUGAAAUAAAGCCGUCUUUGACCACCACACUACAGAAACGAUGGUUUUGAUUCCAGGGUAAGGAAUGAACACGUUUUCCCGGAGAAACAUGCGCUUAGACUUGGUGGUAAAGAGAUCACGGUCUCACUGGCCGUGCGUUCUUGGGAAUUCUGCUGAUUUGUCAAAACACGACUGAUGCUCAGAAAGCUGACGAGGCGCAUGUGUCUCACAUCUUCAUAUCAGAAAUCCCGCUCCUUCUCCGUUCUGAAUUUACUGAGCCAGAGUCCACGUAAGAACAAACUGCGGUCCCCUCGGUGACACGGCACAAGACAGCCUUGUAGGUUGUGGGAUAUGCCGAACCACAAAGUCCUGAAAGGAGACUAUUAUCUCUAUUCUAUGGAUGAAUCAGCUUGCCCGGAUUCCCAAACCUUGGUGAUGGAGCCAGGAUUUGUGCCCAGAUCAGUCUGAUUUCCAGGUCCCUGCUUCUCCACUGAUGGGGAAAAGUCUCUGAUCUGUGGAAAGGGGAGGCAUAUGUAGGAGAAUGGUAAAAAAUGAAGAUGAAGUUAAUCUGUUGUUAGAAUAUGUUAAGGACCUCGGAUGGUACUCUAUACCAUAAGACAAGUGAAGAUAUUAAAAAUUCUUACCCAGGGGAGUGAUUCUUUGAAAGUAUUCAUUUAGGAAAUUGAAUCUGAAUAGAUUGAAAAAAGAGAAAGAAGGAGAUCAUGUAACAAUCAUCGUAACAUUUCUGAGCUGAGAUAAAUGGAAAUGAAAGAAGAAGGAACAGGAAGAAUGGUAGUUUAAAAAUGGGAGAAUUAUUGGAUUAUUGUAGGGCAAAGUCAGGAGGAAGAUGCAGCCUUAAUACUAUUGUCCAUUGUCUCCUGGUGUGCCCAUGUCCUUUUUUUGUUGUAUCUGUGGUACCUGUUUCUGAUUAGAGUCCCUAUUCUCAACACACACAUUCACAUCACACACACACACACACACACACACACACACACAC